AACGAACGCUGGCGGCAUGCCUAACACAUGCAAGUCGAACGAGACCUUCGGGUCUAGUGGCGCACGGGUGCGUAACGCGUGGGAAUCUGCCCUUGGGUUCGGAAUAACAGUUAGAAAUGACUGCUAAUACCGGAUAAUGUCUUCGGACCAAAGAUUUAUCGCCCAGGGAUGAGCCCGCGUAGGAUUAGCUAGUUGGUGAGGUAAAGGCUCACCAAGGCGACGAUCCUUAGCUGGUCUGAGAGGAUGAUCAGCCACACUGGGACUGAGACACGGCCCAGACUCCUACGGGAGGCAGCAGUGGGGAAUAUUGGACAAUGGGCGAAAGCCUGAUCCAGCAAUGCCGCGUGAGUGAUGAAGGCCUUAGGGUUGUAAAGCUCUUUUACCCGGGAUGAUAAAUGACAGUACCGGGAGAAUAAGCCCCGGCUAACUCCGUGCCAGCAGCC
rnacentral:rRNA from 1 species